UGCAUCGGCCGGGAAUCGAACCCGGGAAGCCCGCGUGGCAGGCGAGCAUUCUACCACUGAACCACCGAUGG
rnacentral:tRNA from 1 species